rnacentral:snRNA from 14 species
CCACUUACCUGGACGGGGUUAAUGGGCAAUCAGUAAGGCCUAGGCCUCCAUUGCAUUUUGGAGGGGCGUGCCUGCCUAAGGUCGGCUCAAAUAGUUGAAAAUAAGUCAUAAUUUGUGGCAUGGGCGGAUCCACAUACAAACUUGUGGUGCUCAA